rnacentral:lncRNA from 1 species
CAAGCAGGGUGCGGGGCAGCACAGAGAACCGGGCAAAGUCACGAUCUCUACCGAGUAAAUAACUUGGUGCCUGAAACUCACUUCAGUCCCUUCUUAUUGGAAGGUGGGGGAGAGGAAUGGAGGGAGUGUCUAGCUGUCUAUCCGGAUCUUCACCCUCCCGGGUCAAAUCCCAGAAGUGGAGUUCUUGUAUCACUUACCGGCUUCUGGUUUCCUUUCAGACGCCCACACGCGGGAGCGAAAUCCACUGGGCGGACACCAGAAGUGAGCACUUUGCGCCCUGGAAAUUUACACUGUGAAGUGGCGAAAAGCCCCAGCCCCGAUAGACAGGGUCCUCCCACCCCGGCUCAGCCCUCCCGAGACCCCGGGUACUCGCCUUGCGCGCCCGCCACAGAGUUCGAAAAGCGAGAACUACUUCUCAAAUCACUAGUCACAUUCUGGUGGAAGUCAAGCAAUGAAGAUGGCAUAGAAACACAUUCCAAAUACUAUGAUUCCAUAAAGUAUACAGUAGCAGUUCAUCUGGCACACCCUCGUUUGAAUAUCUGUCUCAGAAGAUUUUGACAGAAGAGAAAGCGGUCUCAUUUCUAUUUAACAUGAAAAUUUAUUUCAUUGGUUUCAUGUCACAGGCCCGUGACUGUAUAAAGAGUCAUAAUCUUUACAAACAGAAUGACUCACAGAGACACAUUGCAAAGCUAUAAUCCAAAACACUGAUGUUAAUUUCAGAGGCCAUCAAUGGUGUUAAGAAGGAGCAUUUUUUGGGCCGGGUGCAGUUGCUCACGCCUGUAAUCCCAGCACUUUGGGAGGCCGAGGCAGGUGGAUCAUGAGGUCAACAGAUCGAGACUAUCCUGGUCAACAUGGUGAAACCCCAUCUCUGCUAAAAAUACAAAAAAUUAGCUGGGCAUGGUGACGCAUGUCUGUAAUCCCAGCUACUCAGGAGGCUGAGGCAGGAGAACUGCCUGAACCAGAAGCCGAGAUCGCGCCAUUGCACUCCAGCCUGAGUAACAAGAGCGAAACUCCAUCUCAAAGAAAAAAAGAAGGAGCAUUUUUUAACCAAAUAAUUGAACACUCAGUUACUUUUCAGUUCUAAUUCAGUUUUUGACACCAAAAUGGACCAUUUUCUUUACAUAAUGAAUGCAGAACUUGCCAAUAAGAACUUCCAAUACUAAACUUCUAUGUAAAACAAAACAUCUCAAAAUCAGUAACUACUUUAAUGAAAUGGUAAAAAAAAUUUAAACACAAAGGAAGGAAAGUAUCUCUGCAAGCAUGUCUAUUAACUUUUCAGAUUUGGUGACUUCUUUCUAAUUAAUUCCUUUACCUCUGUUCCUCAUCCACAUAAAAAUGACAAAAAUUAAAGAGAAGUUUCAAGCCUAUAAUAAAAUUGCUCCAUUGUUGGUAUGUAAUUUUUUUUUAAAUUCAUUUUUCAGUUGUCAUAAUUCAUAUGAGAAUUAUUAAAAUAGAGUUAGUUGCCUUUAAGGACCUUAUUUGGAGGCCA